rnacentral:rRNA from 1 species
UACGAAGGGGGCUAGCGUUGUUCGGAAUUACUGGGCGUAAAGCGCACGUAGGCGGAUCGAUCAGUCAGGGGUGAAAUCCCGGAGCUCAACUCCGGAACUGCCCCUUGAAACUGCAGUGCUAGAAUUCUGGAGAGGCGAGUGGAAUUCCGAGUGUAGAGGUGAAAUUCGUAGAUAUUCGGAGGAACACCAGUGGCGAAGGCGGCUCACUGGUCCAUUACUGACGCUGAGGUGCGAAAGCGUGGGGAGCAAACAGG